rnacentral:sRNA from 1 species
CCUGUGGAAGAGAAGCCUGUCUGAGUAUCAAUCGGGCAGAGAACACCAGGAUUCAUAAGGAAACUACAUUCAUGGCCGCCAAGGGCACAGCCCAUGGUCCAGUUAGAUGGGGUAGAAACGAACUGGAGCUGGGGUCAGCCUGAAGAAGAGAGGGGCGCUAAGAGGUCUGAUUUCCCUUCAGAAUCUUAAGUUUAAAAGAGCCGAGGAUAUGGACUGGAGAUUAGCCAAUGGAAGCUAUUAAUCACGUUAAGGAGAUCAUUUACUUGAAAGGAAAAUAUUUGAAAGCUCGUGCUCCGAACUUUGGAUGUGAGGUGGAUGUGGUGGCAGAUGUCUGCAGCUCCUGCAUUCUCGUGAUAGAGGCAAGAGAAUCUCAAGUCCAAAGCUAGAGCCAACUGCGUGGCCAGACUCUGUCCCCAGAGCAACCUUUGCCUCCUCCCCAAAAAGAAAGGAACAGCCUAGACAGAAAGCUGUUGAAGAGAACUCUUAAAAUUUUGAUUAGGAUGCCGAAGUGUAGCUCUCCACAGUCGAUGACUUCUGGUGGGGGUGCAGGUGUGGAAGAACUUAGUUUUCUUUAAGGGGCUGGCCACUGGGAGUUUGC